rnacentral:rRNA from 1 species
AACGAACGCUGGCGGCAUGCCUAACACAUGCAAGUCGAACGAGACCUUCGGGUUUAGUGGCGCACGGGUGCGUAACGCGUGGGAAUCUGCCCUUCGGUUGGGAAUAACUGAGAGAAAUUUCAGCUAAUACCUUAUAAUGUCUUCGGACCAAAGAUUUAUCGCCGAGGGAUGAGCCCGCGUAGGAUUAGGUAGUUGGUGGGGUAAUGGCCUACCAAGCCGACGAUCCUUAGCUGGUCUGAGAGGAUGAUCAGCCACACUGGGACUGAGACACGGCCCAGACUCCUACGGGAGGCAGCAGUGGGGAAUAUUGGACAAUGGGCGAAAGCCUGAUCCAGCAAUGCCGCGUGAGUGAUGAAGGCCUUAGGGUUGUAAAGCUCUUUUACCAGGGAUGAUAAUGACAGUACCUGGAGAAUAAGCUCCGGCUAACUCCGUGCCAGCCGCCGCCGUAA